rnacentral:hammerhead_ribozyme from 1 species
ACCCAGAUGAUGAGUCCCGAAUAGGACGAAAUGUGCAUCCUGGAU